AAACAACACCAUUUAUAAACAAAUCUCAUGACAAAGUUUAUAGUAAACAACACAAACGAAUCAAAGCAACAAAACCAACCCAUGACCAAACCCAAAGUUGCUAGAACCAGGGCCUAACCUCUUGAGACGAUAGCAAGAAUAGUAGAUGACGACAGCAGAGAAAACCCUACCAGGGACCCUCGACCUUAAUCCCUCAACAAAGACCCUACACCUCUUCUGUGAAUGACCCUACAAUAGCCUGCAACCUAAAAUAUUCAAUACACAGAACACAUUCACAAUUUGCGAAAUGGGAGAAGGACAACUUACCAGUGGCCGCAAACGAUGGUGGAAUAGACGACCAACCACAAUGGUCGGUAAGAGGCUCUCCGAUAGGUGACAAGAAUUGGACAAAUGAAGCAGACGACACAAGGGAGCCUCUAUGAAGGAAGAAAGGUGGUCAAUAGGGAUACCGACAAAAACGCUCACAAAGGAAUGUUUCAUUCGAAGAGGGAAACUAAACCCCAAAAAUGUUUAUUCCAAUUUCUUGAGCCCUUUACCGGCGGCCCACAUCCUUCGGAAGAUCCUUCGAUAAAAGAAGAUUACCGAUGACCUAUAGGCCUUCGGUUUCAUUUGAUUUGCUUGAGAAGUACUUGGAAGCACACUCAAAGGCCUCCAAAUGGGAAAAUGAGCUCCUGGAUGUAGGCUACUAGCCUCUAUGCAUCUAGAUUCCCU
rnacentral:sRNA from 1 species